CUAACGUCCGUCGUGAAGAGGGAAACAACCCAGACCGCCAGCUAAGGUCCCAAAGUCAUGGUUAAGUGGGAAACGAUGUGGGAAGGCCCAGACAGCCAGGAUGUUGGCUUAGAAGCAGCCAUCAUUUAAAGAAAGCGUAAUAGCUCACUGGUCGAGUCGGCCUGCGCGGAAGAUGUAACGGGGCUAAACCAUGCACCGAAGCUGCGGCAGCGAACGUAUCACUUAAAGCGAUUCAGCGGGUUACGAUUGACGGAGCGAAGCGACGUCAAAGCGUAUACAAAGUCGAGUCGGUUUAAGGAUACGUUCGUUGGGUAGGGGAGCGUUCUGUAAGCCUGUGAAGGUGGCCUGUGAGGGUUGCUGGAGGUAUCAGAAGUGCGAAUGCUGACAUAAGUAACGAUAAAGCGGGUGAAAAGCCCGCUCGCCGGAAGACCAAGGGUUCCUGUCCAACGUUAAUCGGGGCAGGGUGAGUCGACCCCUAAGGCGAGGCCGAAAGGCGUAGUCGAUGGGAAACGGGUUAAUAUUCCCGUACUUGGUGUUACUGCGAAGGGGGGACGGAGAAGGCUAUGUUGGCCGGGCGACGGUUGUCCCGGUUUAAGCGUGUAGGUGUGUGUUCCAGGUAAAUCCGGUUCACUUUAACACUGAGGCGUGACGACGAGGCACUACGGUGCUGAAGCAACAAAUGCCCUGCUUCCAGGAAAAGCCUCUAAGCAUCAGGUAACAUCAAAUCGUACCCCAAACCGACACAGGUGGUCAGGUAGAGAAUACCAAGGCGCUUGAGAGAACUCGGGUGAAGGAACUAGGCAAAAUGGUGCCGUAACUUCGGGAGAAGGCACGCUGACACGUAGGUGAAGUGAUUUACUCAUGGAGCUGAAGUCAGUCGAAGAUACCAGCUGGCUGCAACUGUUUAUUAAAAACACAGCACUGUGCAAACACGAAAGUGGACGUAUACGGUGUGACGCCUGCCCGGUGCCGGAAGGUUAAUUGAUGGGGUCAGCGCAAGCGAAGCUCCUGAUCGAAGCCCCGGUAAACGGCGGCCGUAACUAUAACGGUCCUAAGGUAGCGAAAUUCCUUGUCGGGUAAGUUCCGACCUGCACGAAUGGCGUAAUGAUGGCCAGGCUGUCUCCACCCGAGACUCAGUGAAAUUGAACUCGCUGUGAAGAUGCAGUGUACCCGCGGCAAGACGGAAAGACCCCGUGAACCUUUACUAUAGCUUGACACUGAACAUUGAGCCUUGAUGUGUAGGAUAGGUGGGAGGCUUUGAAGUGUGGACGCCAGUCUGCAUGGAGCCGACCUUGAAAUACCACCCUUUAAUGUUUGAUGUUCUAACGUGGACCCGUAAUCCGGGUUGCGGACAGUGUCUGGUGGGUAGUUUGACUGGGGCGGUCUCCUCCUAAAGAGUAACGGAGGAGCACGAAGGUUGGCUAAUCCUGGUCGGACAUCAGGAGGUUAGUGCAAUGGCAUAAGCCAGCUUGACUGCGAGCGUGACGGCGCGAGCAGGUGCGAAAGCAGGUCAUAGUGAUCCGGUGGUUCUGAAUGGAAGGGCCAUCGCUCAACGGAUAAAAGGUACUCCGGGGAUAACAGGCUGAUACCGCCCAAGAGUUCAUAUCGACGGCGGUGUUUGGCACCUCGAUGUCGGCUCAUCACAUCCUGGGGCUGAAGUAGGUCCCAAGGGUAUGGCUGUUCGCCAUUUAAAGUGGUACGCGAGCUGGGUUUAGAACGUCGUGAGACAGUUCGGUCCCUAUCUGCCGUGGGCGCUGGAGAACUGAGGGGGGCUGCUCCUAGUACGAGAGGACCGGAGUGGACGCAUCACUGGUGUUCGGGUUGUCAUGCCAAUGGCACUGCCCGGUAGCUAAAUGCGGAAGAGAUAAGUGCUGAAAGCAUCUAAGCACGAAACUUGCCCCGAGAUGAGUUCUCCCUGAGACUUAGAGUCUCCUGAAGGAACGUUGAAGACGACGACGUUGAUAGGCCGGGUGUGUAAGCGCAGCGAUGCGUUGAGCUAACCGGUACUAAUGAACCGUGAGGCUUAACCUUACAACGCCGAAG
rnacentral:rRNA from 1 species